rnacentral:rRNA from 1 species
GAUAUGUAAUGUGAUUGCAGAUCUACAGUGAAUCAUCGAAUCUUUGAACGCACAUUGCGCUCCUCGGUGUUCCGAGGAGCAUGCCUGUUUGAGUGUCAGU